UACGUAGGGUGCAGGCGUUAAUCGGAAUUACUGGGCGUAAAGCGUGCGCAGGCGGUCUUUUAAGUCAGAUGUGAAAUCCCCGGGCUUAACCUGGGAACUGCAUUUGUGACUGCAUGGCUGGAGUGCGGCAGAGGGGGAUGGAAUUCCGCGUGUAGCAGUGAAAUGCGUAGAUAUGCGGAGGAACACCGAUGGCGAAGGCAAUCCCCUGGGCCUGCACUGACGCUCAUGCACGAAAGCGUGGGGAGCAAACAGG
rnacentral:rRNA from 1 species